GUGGAUUUUCAUUAUUAAUAUGGAGAAAUAAUGGAACUUCCACAUAAAAUGAGAGAGUGUGUGUGUGUGUGUGUGUGUGUGUUCCAAAACAUAGGACGAUCGUUACGAGGAGGGUAUAUAUAGGCUGGCAAAUGUUUUGUGAAAAAUUUUUUUUUUCUGUCUGGAGAUAAUGGAGUUAUUACAUUAUCUGGCUCAAUUAUCUCACAGGCAGAGAGGAGGGAAUUAUCUGUUUGUAUUUGGAGUGUCACACUUUGUCACUGUAUUAUUAUUGGCUGUAACCUUUGUGUCCCUGUCCCCCACAAGGUCCAUGUGGGAGUGCCCCUUGCAUGGGGACUUGCAUAAAAGCCAGUGUGGCACCCAUUAAAACCAUUCCUGUUACACCCUUCAUCAAGUUUCAGCUGAUGUUUGGGUACCUGCCUGCU